rnacentral:lncRNA from 1 species
UCGAUCAGGUUAGAGUACACAAAUUCUUGAAGAAAACAGAGAGGCAAAAAGUUAAAGAGACAAAACAGGAAGGAGGUGGUUCUGAUGGCAAUGACCAAGAACAAGAAAAUUUGUAAAAGGCUGUUAAUAAUUUGAUGAAAAAAUAAAAGUUGCGAGCAGUGGGGCAACUAGUUAAAGGACAGGAUGAUUCAAAACCAUGGGGCACUGAUGCUAAAGCAAAGGUCUGACCUAACUCUUGUACUCAUUGCAUUAAGUUUACAGUUUUCUUACAAACUAAGAGCCCCUUUGGUAGUUAUUUUCUUUAAAAUACAUUUUUCUGUCUCUUCUUUUCAACCACACAUUCUUUAUUAAAAUAAUAUUACACAUAAAACUAAAACUUUUCCUUAUUUUUCAACCACACAUUUCACAUCAAUUUACUAUUUUAAAAUACAUUUUUACACAAAAAUACUUAUCAAACACCCCCUAAAUGUGCACAGGUUGGCAGCCGACUCAGUGAAUUGCUGCUUCAAACAGCCUAUAUACAACCUCCAGUCAAUCGGUUAGCAGACAGUUCACCUGAUAUUCGACCUGCAUUUAUACACACUUGUAUAACUGUACGGAAGGAAACAAAGUAAGUUUUUUUUCUUUAAAUCCUUCUGUCUUAUAAGAAAGCUUUCUUUUUGUUGCUUCAAGUCUUCAACAGUGCUUACUGCAUCUCUUUGUGCAUGAACUUUAGCAAAAGAUAUGGUGUUAUCCAAUGCGUUCCACUUGUUACUAAAGGCCUUUAUAGAACAGUAAAUUCAUUUAUUUCUUCCUGUUUUUCUUUGGGAAAAAUCAGAUACAAUCAUUUCAAAAUAGCACAAUUAUUAAGGCGUGACUUGGAAAUUUAUUUUUAGUUCAGUUAGUGUAUUAAAUCUUCCAAGGAAUCUUUUGAUGAACUCCAAUGUAAAUUGUGUCAAUUUUUCAGGUAGUUGGUUUUCCGUGUGUCAAUUUUGCAAAAACGGUAAAUAACAUAUGAUUUGAUUGAAAUUCAAAUACAGAGACAUUUUUCUUAUUGAUUCAAAAUGCUUCUCUUGCAACUUCGUUGGCCAUUGUGAAUUUGUGUGGUGAGCAAAUUAAAGAAUGUAUGAAGAACGACAAGAUUGAGUAUGCCAUUAGAGUAUUAUUCAAAAGCUUGUUAUUGCAAGUGGAGCAAUAAGCUCUU